rnacentral:rRNA from 1 species
GACGAACGCUGGCGGCGUGCUUAACACAUGCAAGUCGAACGGAAAGGCCCUGCUUUUGUGGGGUGCUCGAGUGGCGAACGGGUGAGUAACACGUGAGUAACCUGCCCUUGACUUUGGGAUAACCUCAGGAAACUGGGGCUAAUACCGGAUAGGAGCUCCUGCUGCAUGGUGGGGGUUGGAAAGUUUCGGCGGUUGGGGAUGGACUCGCGGCUUAUCAGCUUGUUGGUGGGGUAGUGGCUUACCAAGGCUUUGACGGGUAGCCGGCCUGAGAGGGUGACCGGCCACAUUGGGACUGAGAUACGGCCCAGACUCCUACGGGAGGCAGCAGUGGGGAAUAUUGCACAAUGGGCGGAAGCCUGAUGCAGCAACGCCGCGUGCGGGAUGACGGCCUUCGGGUUGUAAACCGCUUUCGCCUGUGACGAAGCGUGAGUGACGGUAAUGGGUAAAGAAGCACCGGCUAACUACGUGCCAGCAGCCGCGGUGAUACGUAGGGUGCGAGCGUUGUCCGGAUUUAUUGGGCGUAAAGGGCUCGUAGGUGGUUGAUCGCGUCGGAAGUGUAAUCUUGGGGCUUAACCCUGAGCGUGCUUUCGAUACGGGUUGACUUGAGGAAGGUAGGGGAGAAUGGAAUUCCUGGUGGAGCGGUGGAAUGCGCAGAUAUCAGGAGGAACACCAGUGGCGAAGGCGGUUCUCUGGGCCUUUCCCGACGCUGAGGAGCGAAAGCGUGGGGAGCGAACAGGCUUAGAUACCCUGGUAGUCCACGCUGUAAACGGUGGGUACUAGGUGUGGGAUCCAUUCCACGGGUUCCGUGCCGUAGCUAACGCUUUAAGUACCCCGCCUGGGGAGUACGGCCGCAAGGCUAAAACUCAAAGGAAUUGACGGGGCCCCGCACAAGCGGCGGAGCAUGCGGAUUAAUUCGAUGCAACGCGUAGAACCUUACCUGGGUUUGACAUGGAUCGGGAGUGCUCAGAGAUGGGUGUGCCUCUUUUGGGGUCGGUUCACAGGUGGUGCAUGGCUGUCGUCAGCUCGUGUCGUGAGAUGUUGGGUUAAGUCCCGCAACGAGCGCAACCCUUGUUCACUGUUGCCAGCACGUUAUGGUGGGGACUCAGUGGAGACCGCCGGGGUCAACUCGGAGGAAGGUGGGGAUGACGUCAAGUCAUCAUGCCCCUUAUGUCCAGGGCUUCACGCAUGCUACAAUGGCUGGUACAGAGAGUGGCGAGCCUGUGAGGGUGAGCGAAUCUCGGAAAGCCGGUCUCAGUUCGGAUUGGGGUCUGCAACUCGACCUCAUGAAGUCGGAGUCGCUAGUAAUCGCAGAUCAGCAACGCUGCGGUGAAUACGUUCCCGGGGCU